rnacentral:rRNA from 1 species
GACGAACGCUGGCGGCGUGCUUAACACAUGCAAGUCGAACGGAAAGGCCCUGCUUGCAGGGUACUCGAGUGGCGAACGGGUGAGUAACACGUGGGUGAUCUGCCCUGCACUUCGGGAUAAGCUUGGGAAACUGGGUCUAAUACCGGAUAGGAGCCAUCUUUAGUGUGGUGGUUGGAAAGUUUUUUCGGUGUAGGAUGAGCUCGCGGCCUAUCAGCUUGUUGGUGGGGUAAUGGCCUACCAAGGCGGCGACGGGUAGCCGGCCUGAGAGGGUGUACGGCCACAUUGGGACUGAGCUACGGCCCAGACUCCUACGGGAGGCAGCAGUGGGGAAUAUUGCACAAUGGGCGCAAGCCUGAUGCAGCGACGCCGCGUGGGGGAUGAAGGCCUUCGGGUUGUAAACUCCUUUCGCUAGGGACGAAGCUUUGUUGUGACGGUACCUAGAUAAGAAGCACCGGCUAACUACGUG